CUCACCUCCUCCUCUCUCCUCCUCGUUCUCUCUCUCUCCUUCUCGACUCUUCCCGUGCUCCCUCCUACGCCUGACGAGGCGAUGACUCAGCCUGUCGCUCCUCCCACAGCACGCCGCCGCCGCCGCCCCCGCCUGUGCCUCCCCUUCCUCUCCCUCUCUCGCUCUCUUCCGGCGUGGCGACAUAUUGGCCAGCCUCCUCCCUCUCCCUCCUUUCCCGCGGCGAUGGUGGCUAGGGCAGGCGCCUUGCGCGGCGGCGUGGCGCCCAGGCGAGGCCGCCCCUAGCGCGGCGGCCCUCGGCGUGGUGCUGCGGCAACAUGGCGUCCAGGCGAGGCUACCCCCAAGCGCAGCCACAACCCGGUGCGACGGCCACAGCCACGGGCAAGCCCCCACGACAGACGUUGCACGGCUAUUAGCGGCUGUUCCGACGACUCCGCAGCCGGAUCCGGUGCCUCCAUGACCAGAUCUAGUGCCUCCAUAGCCAGCUCCUUCCAUCCUGGUACUCUGAUUACGCCUUCUUUCAGGAUGCUACAAGUGCCAAUUGUUUGGUCGAAGUCCCUGACCAGCUCGUGUGUGUUUUAGAGAUACGUACUUAAAGUUUCAUCAUUCUGCUUUAUCUCUAAGUGCUAGACUAAUCGCACCUGACAUUCCUUUCCUUUGGUUGGUGUGGUCGUGGCCAGAUGAUGACUUGGCCCAGCACAAAAAUGGCAGCCUCUGCUCUUUAUAGAUAGCCUGGAUUGACUAUUAAAAUAUCAAGGCCUUGAUGUGGGGCUGGAUUGACUAUUACAAUCUCAUGAUUGCUGAAUUUCUCUUUAUGCUGUCAUUCCUGUGGAUAAAUCACAAUAAGGUAGUCUGAAUUCCUUGACAACCAACUCGACAGGUAGUGCCCCUGCUUCUUUUUAUGCUGCCUGCUGCCAUGGCAUGACUCAGUUUUGAAAAUCAUGCAACCUCCCCGUGAGACAAAACAACGCAGAUCGUGAGAAAAAUAUACUCCUAUCACAUAGAUGCAGCCCAGUAAGACACGAGUAUAUAAGUAAGUAAAUUGGCUUCUUUACAGCUGCAAGCAUCAGAGUUCGGCCAAAAGGUCCUCAGUGGUGCCAAAGAAAAAAAAUACUUACACCAUCCACUCUAAAUUUAUGAUUCGUGUUGAUCAACAUUUGGUCCAGUCAAUAUGACCGGUAUUUUUUUGAUCCGGAAGUUACAUCCUAUUCACAGUCGCCAGGUAUAUACCGACAGCUAUGUGAGCUGCAACGACAAAAUUAUAGCAGACUAUGGUGAGCAUGAAGGACACACCUCAUUACUCCACUCCACAGAGACCUCCCAGGCUACAUAUCGGGAUGCAGUCACCCCAAUGAAUGUGUGUGUCCUUGCCGAGACUCAGAUUGCUCCAGCAACGACACCAGACUACCAGAGCCUCCAUGGAGACAGACCACGAACUAAAAUAGAUCUUGUUGUACUUAUGAACCCCAUCUGCGCAAUGCUAAAAUCAGCUGUGUAAUGUCAGAACCAUGCUCUGUCAUACUAGGACUCUGUCUAUGUUGCAGUUCUCUAUUUACUUUUCAGUGCAUGUUGUAAUUGCUCCAUUUACGCAUACUGCAACUACUGCAUUUACUUUCCAGUGCUUAUCUCAUCUGAGUUCAGCUUCCAUA